CAGCCGCCGCGGUAAUACCGGCGGCCCGAGUGGCGGUCACUCUUAUUGGGCUUAAAGCGUCCGUAGCCGGGUUGGGAAGUCCUCCGGGAAAUCUGGCCGCUUAACGGUCAGAAUGCCGGAGGAUACUCCCAGCCUAGGGAGCGGGAGAGGCCGAGGGGAUUCCCGGGGUAGGGGUGAAAUCCUAUAAUCCCGGGAGGACCACCUGUGGCGAAGGCGCUCGGCUGGAACGCGUCCGACGGUGAGGGACGAAGGCCAGGGGAGCAAACCGGAUUAGAUACCCGGGUAGUCCUGGCUGUAAACGAUGCGGACUUUGUGUCGGACAAGCUAUGAGCUUGUCCGGUGCCGGAGGGAAACCGUUAAGUCCGCCGCCUGGGGAGUACGGCCGCAAGGCUGAAACUUAAAGGAAUUGGCGGG
rnacentral:rRNA from 1 species